rnacentral:lncRNA from 1 species
AAAAUUUGAUUAUGUCUGUAUAUUUCCCUUCUGUUUGCUUCGCUUCAAAUAUCCCGAAACCAUGUGCCACUUAUACUGCUCUACAAGUCAAACAGCAGAUAAACUGAAAGCAGUGCAGAGUGAAAGUGGCGAAAUUAGGAUUUUCUAUACUUACAUUAUUUGGAAAUUGUAGCUGAUCUUGGUAUCAUCCAUCAGUUGUCACUUUUGUAGCCUCACAGGUGAUUGAGAGGUUGAAUCACAUUAAAAUGUGGUUUUUACUCCAUCUGCAUGUGCAUGCAUCUGAAGGUGAUAGAUAGAUGGAGAUAGAUAUAAAUAGGGACGCAAAGUUCAUUGAGAACUUAAUAUCUUUAUCAUCUCAUCUUCCUUUCCAAGUUUUAAACCGGGCAUGAAACUUAAUUGGACUGAGAAGUGUUACAGAACACGUCGUGUUUAGGUUGUCACGGACACUCACCUGAAUCUAUAGAGCAAAUUCUGUAACAUCGCAGCUUUGUCAGGUACUUCUGGAAGGUCUUUUGACCUGCUGCGGGAUUCAUGGCAGUGCUGCUUCCCUCAGAUUCCUGUGAAAGCCUUGGGAACGGAUUGUACUACCUAUUACUUGGUCAGUUUGGAUUGAGUAAAACUCCAGAGUCUUGUCUCACAGAAGAAAAUCUGUCCAGCAAAUGAUUCAUGUGAUAGGUGCUUUAUUUCAGUCCUGGGUUAUUCUGGUGCUUUGUAAUGGAAGGGGAGGUUUGAGUUUGUAAGAGAUAAAAGUGAAAGCAUCAGUGCUAGGCAUGUGAUUGUCCUUCUAUUUUCUUCCCUUCGGUGGAUCCUAGUUUCCAUCUGCUCUUGUUUUUCCUUGUCAUUCAUUCUCUCAAUGAAUCAGGAGGUUUCCUCUAGCUUCUUCAGGAAAAAUAAAAAGAUAAAAAAUCAACAGAACUCAUGAAUCCACUUGACAUAAUUUACGGCUGAUACAUCAUCAAUGGUCAAUCAGAAGCAAAUAGGGAAGAGAAGGAAGAGAUCUGCUUCUGGAUUUUAUCUGCAUAAUAUAAAGAGCUGAAUAGCUGAUAAUCCAUUCCCUCGAUUUGGAUUUUUCUUUUUUUUAUUUUUUUUGAAAGAAAAGCCUAAAGCUCCUUGAGUGUUGCAUAAUAGUCAUAAAUCAUAAUAAAACUAAUCUUCCAUAUGAAAUGAUUUGUAUAUAUUUUUCCUUCAUAGCUAUAACCAUCAAAAAGAAUCAAAACUCUCUCUUUGCAUUGAUCAGAACUCCUCUUUUGAAGGUUGGCUCGCCACUAAAUAAAUCAGAUGACUAACAUGCAUUUAGAUGCUAUGCAUAAUCUUAGCCCCAAGUAAUGAAUGAAAACUUAUUUAACAGAAAAAAGAUUCUUAGAUUUGUGUUAGAAGGGUCUAGAAAACGAAGGAAGACCUAUGUCGACAUGAAUGGAAAUUGUUAUAGAAAAUUUGUAAAAGCUCGUGAUAACAUUUGUGUGACUCUUGUUCAUAAAGCCAGACACAAACAGUUUUGAUGAGCUUUCAUGAUUAUCGUAAAUGAUCAGGUGCUCACCCCUAAUUGCAUUCAUAGGACUAACUUAUAAGACAACUAAACUAUUCAAUAUCUUGAGGCACUUUGAUACCCUGACAUGCACUAACUAAAUUAUUUGAUCGAAAAAACACAGUUAUGUAUGCCUACAAGUCACUUGAACAGAAAUCUCAAUGCAAUCCCACAAAUAAAGCUUGUAAUCCAACUCAAAUCCCAGUCUAAUGCCAAAUAUGUACCUUGUAGCUUGUCAUGCAUUCUUUUCAGAUUAUGUGCACACACAUUAACUACUUUGAUUCCCCAAACUUGUGCCUUGCACUAGGCAGGUAAAACCUUAUAGGUUGUAGAAAUUAAGAGUAGUUUGCAUCACCUUUUAUCACUCACCAAGUUACUACAAUCCAGGAACACUCAAUUUGUUGUCACUAACUUCGUCCUUUAAAGGGUGCUAACAGUACAGCUGGUAAAGCCAUUGGGGGUCAAGUACCAAGGAUCUGGGUUCAAGUCCUGCACUUACCCUAGUUUUAGUUGGGCUUCUCCCAUCCUAGUCAGCCCCUCAACCCCCCACCCCACCCUUAAACAAAAGAAAGUAAAAAAAAAAAAAAGUUUCCUUCGCAUUUCAUGAAAAGAAACAAGGUGAAUCACCUCUUUUCUUUCAAGAAAAGGUUAUGACUAUUGUAUUCAGACAAGGAAUUUCACCAUCUCCAUCAAAAACAUGGUUUCAGAAAAGAGAAUACACUCGACAACUUGAAUUCAUUCAUCACUUCAAUCAACAGCUUCCUUCUAUGGACAGCCUCUUCAAUUUUACAAGAACUAUGCAAUAAAAGAAAAAAAAACUGUCCCCAGUGAAAAUCUAGUCACACUGUCCUCCUCCAGCAGAACCAAAACUAAUUUGAUCCAUACCGAGUGCUUCUACCACCAUAAAGAACCUCAUAAAACAUACAGCCAUGAUCCAUAGUACACAGGAAUAUAUUAGAAGCAUCAUGUCCAGCAUACAUUAAACAGUCUUUUUUGCUAAUCAAUGAUCGACAUUUAUCACUGCAACCUUUCUUUUGCCGGGCAAAUCAUAUGAAGAUGUUGCAUUGUGGCCACUUUCAGUGCACACAUUCUCACUAUAGUCAUUAUAUGUUCCCAAUCCUACAUUGGCAAUACUACUACAAACUUUUCAUCUUACUGUACACCAAAUUUAUUAAAUAUUUUGAUGAAACAGAUUAAGCAUAGUAAAUUUUGGUGUCCGCGUGGCCCUUUUAAUCAAGGAACAAGCAUCUGACAACUCCCUUUCAUCGAUCAAGAAUUUUGGUCUUUGCAAAGUAUAAUGAUCAUCCAAAAAAGAAAAAAAGGGUUUCAAUUUAUUCAAAUGAAUGACUCGAACACCUAUUGAUUUUAACAACUGAUUGCAGAGUUGAUCAUUUGGACCUUUCAAUUUCUAAUUUCUUGGAGCCUUUCUUUUUCAGAUAUAAUUUCUUUGAUGGUUGAACAACCCAUUAUCAUGCUUCUGAUAGGAACCAAUUCCUAUCUAUGAUAUUGGAGCAGAAAAAGAUAAAAGAGAAGAAAAUAGAAGAAAAGAAAUAAUGUUUGACCACUUGAGGGGAUCGGACCCUCCACAAGCCUUUAGGCCAAUUUUAUCGAACAGGUUUCUUAAUGUCUCUAGCCAAUAGGGAUUACAUAGAUGCGUUGACUAACAAGCAAGAAAAUCUAAUAUUAAGCAUACCAGGAAUAAGAAGAAAUAUAUACUAAAAAAUAAAAGUUAACCAAAAAGUUUAAACUUUCCUUCAAAGGCAAAUAAAAAGAGGUUUCGGCAAUGACGAAGAACUGGGAAGAGAGGCCUCAUCAUUGUCUCAACCCAAUCAAUAUCUCAAUCUCCACGGUGAACCAAUCCGAAAUCUUUACGUAGCAACAUUACUAAAAAGAAUAACAACCUAACCAAUAUUUAAAGACAGUAAGGGAAGAUUUCCAAGCCUCUGCACAAAUUUUAUCAAACAGUGUCCAAGAAAUCAAACUCAGAAUCUAAAAUCCCUAUAGCAAAAGCUUCAAGAAAAACAUCUUUAGCAAGCCUAGGCUAACUUAAGAAGAUCGAUAGAACGCAUCAAAUAAAUUCCAAGAAAAGAGAGCAUUCCCAGUAUUCAAUGAAUUUUAGUAACGUAGAAUCCAUCUAAAAAUUUCCGAGAAAAAGAAUCUAUCUGCGAAGAAUCCAACCCUAAUAUUGGAGGGAUUGGAGACGCUUACCGAAAUCGUGGCGUCGAGGUUUACGGCAGCAAUGGCUUCUCCGACCUCGCCGGAACGUCUCUCAUUCACUCCGUACGCCCCGAGCCUCGUCAUGAGAGGCGAUGCCGCCAAGAGGAGGAAGAAAGGAGGCGAGGAGAAGAGGGGAUGCAUGGCGGAAGCCAGAGCCGGAGGAACGGGGCGGAAGAAGGUGGAGGAGGAUGGGGCCUUUUGA